AUUACUGGCAACGUCUGCCUGAAAUCGC
rnacentral:sRNA from 1 species